UCCUGACACAGGGAGGUAGUGACAAGAAAUAACAAUACAGGGCUACUUUUAGUCUUGUAAUUGGAAUAAGUACAACUUACAUCUCUUCACGAGGAUCAAUUGGAGGGCAAGUCUGGUGCCAGCAGCCGCGGUAAUUCCAGCUCCAAUAGCGUAUAUUAAAGUUGUUGCAGUUAAAAAGCUCGUAGUCGGAUUUCGGGGCGGGGCGACCGGUCUGCCGAUGGGUAUGCACUGGUCGGCGCGUCCUUCUUUCCGGAGACCGUGCCUACUCUUAACUGAGCGGGGGCGGGAGACGGAUCGUUUACUUUGAAAAAAUCAGAGUGUUUCAAGCAGGCAGCUCGCUCUUGCAUGGAUUAGCAUGGGAUAAUGAAAUAGGACUUUGGUGCUAUUUUGUUGGUUUCGAACACCGAAGUAAUGAUUAACAGGGACA
rnacentral:rRNA from 1 species